AUUGAACGCUAGCGGGAUGCUUUACACAUGCAAGUCGAACGAGUGGCGGACGGGUGUGUAAUAUAUCGGAACGUGCCCAGUAGCGGGGGAUAACUACUCGAAAGAGUGGCUAAUACCCCCUACUAUUGUCUCGUCCGAUAUCGUAUUAUCUAGUGGGUGGGGUAAAGGCUCACAAAGGCAACGAUCCGUAGCUGGUUUGAGAGGACGACCUGCCACACUGGGACUGAGACACGGCCCAGACUCCGACGGGAGGCAGCAGUGGGGAAUGUUGCACAAUGGGGGAAACCCGUAUCCAGCCAUCCCGCGGUUAUGAGAAGGCCUUCGGGUUGGAAAGUACUGUUGGCAGAGAAGCGGUAUCUGAAGAAUAAGCACCGGCUAACUACGUGCCAACAGCCGCGGUAAUAC
rnacentral:rRNA from 1 species